rnacentral:tRNA from 1 species
UUCCUGGUGGCUCAGACGGUAAAGCGUCUGCCUGCAAUGCAGGAGACCUCGGUUCGAUUCCUGGUUCGGGAA